ACAGGGUAGAAAAUGAAGCUGGUGUCUAAUGCCCCCGAGCUAGGAGGCUCAGUGUUGGUGUUCACAUUCCAAAUUUCCAGAAGAGAGAAACAGAGAAGCCCCCUGGGGUCAGGCAACCUCCAGGGGUCCCGUCACUGUUGACAUGUAUUCAGUCUUUCCCGCUCCACACAUCUCUUCUCUCCUGCUCCCAGCCAGCCAAAAGUAGAGCACAGUGACUGGCUAAUAGUAACUGUCUGAUGAGCUAUCAGCAUCGAUUUGACCGCUGUCCCCUUGCACUGCCUCCUGUGGUACAUGCAACACAGCCUCAGGAAGAGACUCUGACUACCCUCAAUUGACAACUGAGGAAACUGAUGCUUAGAGAGGCUUCUGGAGGCUGCUGGUAUUCCUUGGCUCGUGGCUGCAUUGCUCCAACCUCUGCUUCCAUGGUCACACGACCUCCUACUACUCUGACCUCCUGCCUCUCUUAGAAGGACCCUGGUGAUUACAUCGGGCUCACUUGAAUAAGCCAGAAUGAUCUCCCCAUCUCAAGAUCCUUAACUUCAUCACAUCUGUAAAGUCCCUUUUGCCAUGUAAGGUCUGGAAGAUGGAAGUCUAAAAUCCAAGUGUCGGCAGGGCGGCUUCCUUCUGGAGACUUUGAGAAAAUCCAUUCCAUGCCUCUCUCUCAGCUUCUGUUGACUGUUGACAAUCCUUUGUGUUCCUUGGAUGUAGACACAUCAUUCGAAUCUCUGCCUCCAUCUUCAUGUCACCUUUGUGUGUCUUCUCCCCUUCUCUUUUAAGGACACUUAUCUUUGGAAUUAGGAUCCACUUGGAUAGUUCAGGGUGACUUUAUCUGGAGAUCCUUAACUUGAUUAUGUCUAUAAAGACCCUUAUUCUAAAUAAGGUCCCCUUCAUAGUUUCUGGAUUGACAAAUCUUUUGAGGGCCACCAUUCAACCCAUGACACAUGUGAGGCGGAAGUAUUUGCCCACAGACUCUCAUCCCUCACUGGCUAGGGUUGCCCCCAGCAGUGGCAAACCUUAGCACUGAGCCUGGCCCUCUACCAAACAAGCUCCCAUGCAUCCACAGAAAGCCCCAGGCAGGAAGUCAGAAAAGGAUAGGUAGUCACUUUAUGUGCGAAGCAGUCAGCAGCCUCAGGAACUGUCCACUGCGGCUGCGGGUGAACCCAGAGGUGGGUCCAGGGAACAAGGCUUGAGGCAACAUAUGGGGUUGUGUAGAAUCUUCCUCUGAGAGAUAGAUAACAGAGAGCCUUCCUGCGUCCCAAUAUUUCCUUCCCUUUCUUCCCUCCCCUGACUCCUUAGGCUCAGCCUUUGGAAUAAAUGAAUCAGCAGGACAAACUCUUGUCUGCCUAGAAAGUCGGAGAAAGAUCGAGGCCCGGGGUGUUUCAUGCCCCUCCCACACAAGCAGGCCCCGGGGGUUUGGCUUCGCAGUGCAGCCUUUGAGGCUGUACAUCUUUCUGAGCAGGCCAAGUGGAAAGAGGGGCGGGUAGGGGCGGGGGUGGGGGAAGAAGUAAUUAGUUUGAUGAAUCUUCUUUUUAAGUUGUUCUCUACAUGGGCCUCUCACAGCGUUAUAGGCUCAGUGAUGCAUUCUGCGAGUUUUAUGAAUCCUUAAACAUGGGCCAUUUUUCAAAAGGGAGAGGUGAAAGCAAUCAUUUGUUGGCACGAGCCCUGGGUGUCCCUGGUCUGGAACAAGGACACCUGAUGAUGGCCCCCCCACCCCACCCCCCCCAGGCCACAGAGGGCUUUGGAGAGUCAGGAUGAAGCUGAAAUAUUCUUGCUGCCCACCUUGCUGCCAGAAGUGAUGUGUAUUCAAUGUCCGUCCACACACUCGACAAGCCUCUUCGAUAUGGUUGCUUGGUGCUCGGAUCUGGGGCUGGGGAUAUAAAUGCCGCAGGGCCCUGUCCAGUAUCGGCCCACAACCUGCUCCGAGGUGUGGCUCGGGGAAGACUGUACCAGCAGACCCUCCUUGACAAGCUGGGUGGCAAUGCCUGCCACACUGCCUGUGGUACAUUGCAAAACUGUCUCAAAUUCUUCCUUGCCCUUUGGUUGUGUUCUCCCACACUGACCUUGAACUUGGCCAUUGACUUGCUUUGGCGACUCACAAACAUAAGUAGAGGCUUGAAAAGUGCUUACGUGGAGGUGCUGGUCCACUUGCUGAUCUUGGAAUCUUUGCCCACCAGGUGAACAAGCCCAGGCCACCCUGCUGGAGGAUGACAGCCGUGGCCCCGUUAGCCCUUUGCUGUACCCGACAGGCAGUCCCCGGAAGCAGAGUUUCCUGACUGACCAUGCACCAUGGACCAGGAUAGGAAGCAGUCAAUAAAGAAAACACCAUUGAGCAGGUCCCCACUGAGGGCACCUGGGGGACAGUAAGGACCUCAUGCCUCAGAGUUAUCCCCCUAAGGGGUUCAGGGGUUGCCUACGUAUCCCCCAACUCCCUUCAGUCCUUGACUGAGGACUGCUCCUGGGGGCCAUCAACUCGCCAUUAGACUAACCCCGGCCAUGGAGGCUAGAGAAAAGCCACAGUCCCAGAGUCACAGAGCCUGGCACAUACUAGGUGCUCAGUAAACACUCCUUCUCACUUGUCCCUCAUUCUGCCUGAGGGAGCCUGCUGAGUCCAGCCCAAAUAACCUAUCAUCGCCACGUGAGCUAAGCAGAUGGCGGUUGUUCUAAGCCACUAAGUUUUGGGGUGCUUUGUUUCACAACCAAAGUUUACUGCCACACUGUCUCAGCUUUUGGUGGUCCCCAUGAAGAGCCCCAACCUGAGCUCCUGGUGGGGCUACAUGGGCUGCUUCUCAGCCUAGAACAGGUCCCACCUUUGACUCUGAUGCUCUGCCAGCAAAACUAAGUUCACUUUCCACUCCCUUUGGGGGCUUUUUGAUGAUGGGGACUAACGCGUGGAACUCAAAAACCUUUGACCUUCUUAUUUCUAAUUUGAGGUCAGCCUCCAGAUUGUAAGUUCAUUUUAAUGGAUGGGGACACCGCCCUGGGGUUGAGUUUACUGCAAACAAUGGAGUAGACCCCCUGCCCUGGGAGGCAGCCAGGUAUUGGACCAGUGCACAGACUGGUGACUUACCCUUCUGCCGGCCUGAUGGACAUUUGCCCCAAGGUGGCCCAAUCUGACACAUUCUAGACCCUCUCUCUACUCUCCACCUGCUGCCAGCCUGAAAAACAGAGUGUUUCCCCACUGCGGCCAUCCAAUAGGAGGAAACCUAGCACAGUUGGAUCUGGAAAAGACAGCUCCUUCCAUUCUCAUUUACGAUGAGACACCAACGUCCAGGGUCCUAAAUCAAAUAUCCUUAGCCUCCCUUCCUCUCAGUUACCAGGAUCUAUCUCUUCCUUUGACCUUUGGCCAGCCACAGAACUGCCAGCCCCCAGAAUGAAGACUAAUUGACAAUAAGGGCCGCAGGUGCUUUUUGAGCAAGGCUGACCUACCCAUUGGAUAAGGCGGGUGUGUGCCUGGCACCAUUUGCCUGUGCUAAAGCCACCGUCACUGUCCAUGUCUGGUGGGCAGACAUGUUAACUCUGAAUGUCCUGUGAAGAAGUGCACAGACGGUUGGUGAGCACUGGCCUGGAGUCCGCAGCACAUCCAAGCCCAGAAGAGGCCUGGCCCUGAGCCUUGUUCACACCUUUCCCUCUUAAGCGGAGAGCCCCUGAUGUGGAGCAGAGGGACCACCACCACCGCUGGGCCACCGGGUCAUGUUCCAGGGGAGAAAACCUCACUUUGGACGCCUCCUGAACUGUAAAUUUGUGGCAGAAAUGACAAGCCAGCGCCAGGUCUCCUGACUAGCUCUUGGGGGUGAGAAGGAGGAGGCAUGAAGAGAAGGGAGGGUAUAGACCUUCACACAGGCAAGGCUGAUUCUUGUGGAAGAGGUCACGUUCCCAGGGCUGUCCUUUAAGACCCUACCUGCCAGAUCGGGUCACAGAACCCAGCAGAAAUGAGUUUGUGUGGGUGAAUGACUGUGUAUAUGUGUGGGUGUGGGUGCCUGUGUGUUUGUGUAUGUGUGAAAAUGUGUUGCAUAUGUGUGAAUGUGGGUAAUUUGUGUGUUGUAUGCAGACAUAUUUGUGUGUGUACAUAUAAGUUUGCAUGUGUCUGUAUUUGUAUACACUUGUGUGUGCACGUGUGCGCCCAUCUAUACUAAAAUCUCUGCUACUGAGAGGAGACUAAUCUUGGACCACAAUCAGAAAUCUCCAGGCCUAGGAACUAGAGGUAAACAUUGCAGUGCGGAGCCUAGAGUCAUUUUGUAUCUCUAUUUCCCCCUCGAGUCACAAGCACGGGCUGCUUCCUUCUGAUCACCUUACUUUUGUUCUUCCCCCUUCAGCUUUGCCAUGUCACUGUUGUUUUGAGAUGGGAAUGCCGAAGUACCGGCAUCUCCAUUGCUAUUAAAUAUCACCUGUCCCCAGCCCAUCCCCCAAAUAAGGGACAGCCAAACUGCCACAUCCUGGGGUCACCCAUCUCUACCUGCAGAAUGAGGGGUGAGCGAGAAUGAUUGUUUACUAAGCACCUAGUCCCUGCCAGACUCUGUGACUCUUGGCUCAUGGCCACGUGUUUCCUGGAAUCCCCUCCCAAAUACCCCACUUGCACUCACAUGCUUAUCGCUGGGGCUCCCUUCAGGAACCCAAAUGAAACAAGUGACUUAUCUGAUGAGCUGGGACGAAGAAUCCAGGCCUAGAGGGCUCAGCCCUUUCUGGGCCCCCUUUGGGAAGCAGCCUGCCCGGGAAAAGCACAUCAUCUCAGCUCCCUGUGGUCUUCAGCUCUGCCUGUCGCUGAGUGGGUCAGAUCAAUGCUGGGUCAAGUGUCAGCAAGACAAUUGUUGUGACAGAUCUUGAGACACAUCCGCCAAUACAACCUUUUCUGUAAUAAAGAACAUUUUGAACUCUACCUUUUGGACAUCUAUGUCUGCUUCUCAAUUGGUUGGGAGGAGAAGAAAGGAGUGUUUUUAAUUGACCCUCCUGAAACCCCAACAUUUAUCACUGUAUCCCAGAAGCGAAAAGUGCCAGGACCAUAAUAGGGACUCAUUCACAUUUGUUGAAUGGAGAAAAGUGACAGAGGGAUUCAAACCCAGGUCUGUCUUCCUCCAAGAUCACGCCACUUUUUCUAGAUCCUGUCCCAGAGGGGAAAGCUGCGGAGAGACUGAGGGAGCCCAGGGAGCAGUAGAAUGGCCCUUGAUGCCAGGCUCUCUUGCCCUUCUGCAAAGAGAAUGUCCUCUGUGGGCCACAGCCCAGGGGCGAGGUCAGACAGCUCUGCCCUCUGGAAGCCAGAGCUUGGCCAGGGAUGUGCAAAUCCCUGCGCAUUCUCCUGCCAGCCUCAUCUAAUCACAACCCUGUGUGUUUUGACUGAAAAGCUCUACCUGCCUCUCGGGAUUGAUGAGAAGAUUAAUGCCUGUUUAGCAAAUUACGGCUUCCCCAGCACCUCCUGCUCCUGGGAGAGAAGGAGCCUUGGAAACGGAAAAUAAAAACAAACCUCACCGCUCCGUGUCAAGGCUUGGCCACAGCAAUGACAGCUGGGCCCAACUCGGCAGAGCGUGGAGGCUUAACAAAGCGAGGAACAAUGUGCUGACAGAACUUACCCAUCUGUGAGUGAAAAGAUUUCCUGAUGACAGCAGGCCUCCAGGCAGGCCCACCCAACUCCACCCUGCCUGCCCAGCAAAGCUUGGAAAGUGUCUCUGGUUGCCACGCGCUGCUGACGCCCCUGGGCUGGGUCUGGGACAGGGUGGGCACCCAGCAGGCCUCUUCAUUCCACCUGCCUACCACAGCAACAGCACAGAGUGAGGAAGCAUGAGAGAGGGAGACUGAGUGGGUACUCCCUGGAGGGGGUCCUGUGUGGUGACGUGGAAAUGGCCAUGGAGUGGGUGAAGGUGACUCUUGUGCUUGCCAGGGCUGUCCCAUUAUGCCAUCUCAUGUAACUCUCACAUUAACCCUAUGAACGGGGAUCUGUUGUCCCCAUUUCACAGAUGAGGAAACUGAGUCAUUCAACCAAAGCCAAGAGAUGAAGAAGUCAGGUCUUGAACCCAGGCUUUGCUGGUUUCUGAGCCCAUGCUCAUGAUUUUCAUACAGAGCCUCACACUGCCCCUUAGGGAUUGGAAGAGUGGAACACCAGGACCUGCCCUGGACCCCAGGGGAGCUGCAAGUUUCAUCUCAGAAGCUCAGCGUCCUUGUCUGUAAAGGAAGGGAAAUUUGGAGACAGACACACAGAAACUGCCACGCGAAGCUGAAGACAGAGACUGAGGUGAUGUUUCUACAAGCCAACGUCUGCCAAAGAUGGCCAACAGACCACCAGAAGCUAGGGAAGAGGCCUGAAACAGAUUCUCCCUUCCAGCCCUCAGAAAGAACCAACCCUGCCGACACCUUUUCUUGGACUUCUAGCCCCCUGAACUGUGAGAUAGUACAUUUCUGUUGUUUGUGCCACCCAGUUUAUGGUACUUAGUUGUGGCAGUCCUAGGAAAGUAAUACACCCUCUGUCAAGGCUGUCACCUUGCGUUCUUGCAGAAAUUAGCACCCCCAUCCAGGAAUCUAGGGGAAAGGGAGUGGAGGCAAUUUUUAUAGCAGUGGUGGUCCCCACUCCAGCUUUGACUUUCCCCCAAGACGGGUUGAAAUGUCCUGUUGCUGAUAAGAGAAUAUCUAGAAAUAAAUAGUUCUGGCCAAAAUUUUCUAGAAUCACAUAAUAAAUAAUUCUUCCUGUCUUUGAUGACAUAAAGAAUGAAUGAAUGAGUGAACGAACGAAGUUAUAAAUAUCUAAUGCCUUUGGCCUGACUCUGAAUAGAAGCUUCUCUACUUGUGAAAUUUCGGCCCACAAAUUUCUGUGGAAAGUUAAGCUCCAGAGAAAAAUGGACACUAACUCUGCUGCCAUGAACAGGUGGAAUGCAUGGUGGUCCCUUUGGAUUAAUGAACAAAUGGAUUCAAGGACAGUCAGAAUCCAACCCGUUCACAAAUUGAGGCAUGUUUGUGUUUCCCUUACUCCUCCUCUUCCCCUCCUAAUUGCAAAUCUUUUUUGAAGCGUAACAUAGGAGGUGUUGAGACAGGAUAGUUAGCAUGUUGCUAGGUAGACAGGGGGUCCCUGGUGGAAUAAACAAAAAAGCAGCCAUAUCCUGAAACUCCAGGUCCUGGAAUGUCUCCCUCACUCCAGGACAGGGACACGAGAAUACACCUUGAGGUUAAUAGAUAAUCUCAAAUCCCUUUUGGCCGGA